GUGGUAGCUAGCUUUGGCAGCACAUACACUAAAAUUGGAACAAUACAAAGAAUAUUAGCAUAACUACUGUGCAAAGUUGACAUAAAUUUAUGAAUCAUUUUGUACUUAA
ensembl:snRNA U6 U6 spliceosomal RNA